GACGAACGCUGGCGGCGUGCUUAACACAUGCAAGUCGAAUGGAAAGGCCCUGCUUUUGUGGGGUGCUCGAGUGGCGAACGGGUGAGUAACACGUGAGUAACCUGCCCUUGACUUUGGGAUAACUUCAGGAAACUGGGGCUAAUACCGGAUAGGAGCUCCUGCUGCAUGGUGGGGGUUGGAAAGUUUCGGCGGUUGGGGAUGGACUCGCGGCUUAUCAGCUUGUUGGUGGGGUAGUGGCUUACCAAGGCUUUGACGGGUAGCCGGCCUGAGAGGGUGACCGGCCACAUUGGGACUGAGAUGCGGCCCAGACUCCUACGGGAGGCAGCAGUGGGGAAUAGUGCAUAAUGGGCGGAAGCCUGAUGCAGCAACGCCGCGUGCGGGAUGACGGCCUUCGGGUUGUAAACCGCUUUCGCCUGUGACGAAGCGUGAGUGACGGUAAUGGGUAAAGAAGCACCGGCUAACUACGUG
rnacentral:rRNA from 1 species